CUUCCCAGCACACUCUCUCUCUACCUCUCAUCUUCUUCUUUUCUCUCUCUCUCUCUCAACCCCACAAAUCCACAAACUCCAUCCAAUGCCACCAUCACCAACUUCUUCUUCCUUUUUCCUUCAACUUUCACUCACCACCACCCUACCACUGGAGCAUCACUAUCUUUUCCGACCGGCGACCUUCCAACGGCCAUUUUUUCCGGCGGAUUUACAUCUUCUCUUCUCCCUAUUUUUUUUUCAAGAUAUGUCUACAUCAUCCCGCCAAACCAAUGCUCACCUAUCGCCUCCACUACUCCUCCCUGAUGCUCUAGCUAAUCCUAAUGAUGUUCCGGUAGAGCCCGUCGCCUCCCCAGCCCCAGCGCCACCGCCAUUCCGUAUGACGCGGGUGCAAUAUUAAGCUCUUUUGGAUAAUCAAGCCGCUAUUCUGCAAUUUGUGGUUGAUCUCCGGGCAGACUUGCAAGCAUAUCGAGAUCACUCGCAGAUGGUCUUUGAUGGGUAUCAGCAGUCAAUUGCAUCUCUACAAACUGAUUUCUACAUAUACCGCGAGUCGAGGCAGCAGUUGUUUGAUCAGCUUGGCGCUAGGAUUCAUAAUGAGGCGUUCGAGACUCGGACACUAAUGCAUGCCCUAUUUGGGCAGCAUUUUUCGCCACCGCCAGAUCCACAUCAGUAAUAUCCAUUGUAUUUUCUUUGUUUUAGUUCUUUAUUUAUUUUUGUUUUGUUUUGUUUUCUUUUUCUUUUUCUUUUCCUUUUAUCCUGUACUGUUCCAAAAAAAAAAAAGUGUGUAUGUGUUUGGUGUGUCCUUGCCUCGCUGGAUGUGCGCCUACGCCGUCUAGUAAGAUCCUCUCUCUCUCAUUUUACUAUCUACUUUCCAAUUGCUUA